rnacentral:rRNA from 1 species
UUUUACCUGCCCAAUGUUACGAUGAAUGGCCGCGGUACCCUGACCGUGCUAAGGUAGCGUAAUCAGUUGACCUUUAAAUGAGGUCAGGAAUGAAUGGAAUAACCGGGUUUAGCUGUCUCUAAACCAUUAUAUUGAAUUUACUAUCUAAGUGAAAAAGCUUAGGAUUUAAAAAGGGAGGAGAAGACCCUUAGAAUUUUUUUAAAAAGGAACAUAUUUUCCUUACAGUUUUAUUGGGGCGAUAAAGAAAUAAUUAAAACUUUCUUUUUUAACAAGCCGAUUGUAUUAAGUAAGAAUAAAUUACCUGAGGGAUAACAGCAUAAUUCUAUAACUGAGUUUGUGACCUCGAUGUUGGACUAGGAAACCAGUAGGCUAGCCGUUUACUGUGUUAGGUUCUGUUCGAACUUUUAUUCCU